GAAAACCGUGGGGUGUGUGUGUGUGUGUGUGUGUGUAUGCAUCUGUGUGUGUAUGUGAAUGUGUAUUUGGGCUUCAUCUGCAAUAGCAACUUAAGCUCAGAAUAAGUGAAUGGGUUGUCAAGGUGGACAUUAGCAGUGAGAGACCAAGAGUCUGGACAACAGGGAUUCAGUGAUUGGGCUAGAAGACCCAGUCAUGAAGGUCAUAGUGUGAAAACUUCCAUUUGGAAAUCUGGGAGCAGUUCUUAAGUCAAAAAACAGACCUGGAAUCACAGUAUCCAUACAUACCAGUUGGAGGACAAAAGACAUUGCCCCAGAGACCAGAGGCACCAAAAUACACUACACCUAGCUACCUGAGAAUGCCUCUAGCUGGCAACUCCAGCAAAGGCCCUUUUCCCCAUCCUUGACCAUCUUGAGUGAAAGCAAAGAACUGAAAGAUUGAAAAAUCUGAGACUGAGCGUUCCUUCCUGGAGAGACUCGUACCAUAUCAACCAGAUUGGAUAUGUAUUUAUUUUUCUUUUCUGCCAUUCAGCAUGUGGCAAAGACCCAUUUAGUUAUAAACAAAAUAAAAGAGGUUGUAUUUAUAAAAUUUUGCACAUCUAAGUUGUAGUAUGUAUUAAGUUUGUAUCCUUGUUAUAUGUGAUUCCCUGCUGUGGCCCAGCAGAUAAUAUAAACACUG
rnacentral:lncRNA from 1 species